rnacentral:tRNA from 1 species
GGUGCCGUGACCGAGAGGUUUAGGUGCAGCUCUGCAAAAGCUGUUACAUCGGUUCGAGUCCGAUCGGCACCUC